GAUCCUGGCUCAGGAUGAACGCUGGCGGCGUGCCUAACACAUGCAAGUCGAACGCCUGUUCCAUUUUUUCAUGAGUAGCUUGCUACAAUUGAUUAAAUGGGUUUUGCAGGAGUGGCGGACGGGUGAGUAACAAGUUGGUAACUGCCUUAAGCUCAGGGAUAACUCCGAGAAAUCGGAGCUAAUACCGGAUGGUCCCUUCGGGGUAAAGCUUUUGCGGCUUAAGAGGUGCCUACUUCCUAUCAGCUAGUUGGUGAGAUAACAGCUCACCAAGGCGAUGACGGGUAGCUGAUCUGAGAGGAUGAUCAGCCACACUGGGACUGAGAUACGGCCCAGACUCCUACGGGAGGCAGCAGUGAGGAAUCUUCCGCAAUGGGGGCAACCCUGACGGAGCAACGCCGCGUGAAGGAUGAAGGUCUUCGGAUCGUAAACUUCUUUUGUUAGGGAACAAUUUUGAGCGUACCUAACGAAUAAGUCACGGCUAAUCACGUGCCAGCAGCCGCGGUAAUACGUGAGUGGCUAGCGUUAUCCGGAAUUACUGGGCGUAAAGCGUCAGUAGGAGGUUUGUUAAGUGAGAUGUAAAAGCCUUUGGCUUAACCAAGGGACGGCAUCUCAUACUGGCAGGCUAGAGGAAGGUAGAGGCAAACGGAAUUCUCGGAGUAGGGGUAAUAUCCGUAGAGCCCGAGAGGAACACCAAUAGCGAAGGCAGUUUGCUGGACCUUUCCUGACUCUCAGUGACGAAAGCGUGGGGAGCGAACCGGAUUAGAUACCCGGGUAGUCCACGCCGUAAACUAUGGGUACUUGGUGCAGGUGGUAUCGAUCCCUUCUGUGCCUAAGCUAACGCGUUAAGUACCCCGCCUGGGGAGUACGGCCGCAAGGUUAAAACUCAAAGGAAUAGACGGGGACCCACACAAGCGGUGGAGCAUCUGGUUUAAUUCGACAAUAAGCGAAAAACCUCACCAAGAUUUGACAUCCCGAGAAGAUUGCCGAAAGGUGAUUGUGCCGUAAGGAACUCGGUGACAGGUGCUGCAUGGUUGUCGUCAGCUCGUGCCUUGAGGUGUUCGGUUAAGUCCGUAAACGAGCGCAACCCAUGUCUUAAGUUGUAUUUUUCUUAAGAGACUGCCGGCUUCAAGUCGGAGGAAGGUAUGGAUGACGUCAAAUCAGCAUGGCCCUUAUGUCUUGGGCGACACAGGUGCUACAAUGGCCGGUACAGUAGGCAGCGACGGGGCAACCCAGAGCCAAUCCUUAAAACCGGUCCAAGUUCGGAUUGAGGGCUGAAAUUCGCCCUCAUGAAGCUGGAAUCGCUAGUAACCGUGAAUCAGCAUGUCACGGUGAAUAUGUUCCUGGG
rnacentral:rRNA from 1 species